rnacentral:rRNA from 1 species
AUUGAACGCUGGCGGCAUGCUUUACACAUGCAAGUCGAACGGUAACAGGUUAAGCUGACGAGUGGCGAACGGGUGAGUAAUGCAUCGGAACGUGCCCGGUCGUGGGGGAUAACGCAGCGAAAGCUGCACUAAUACCGCAUACGAUCUGAGGAUGAAAGCGGGGGACCGUAAGGCCUCGCGCGAUCGGAGCGGCCGAUGUCAGAUUAGGUAGUUGGUGGGGUAAAGGCUCACCAAGCCAACGAUCUGUAGCUGGUCUGAGAGGACGACCAGCCACACUGGGACUGAGACACGGCCCAGACUCCUACGGGAGGCAGCAGUGGGGAAUUUUGGACAAUGGGCGAAUGCCUGAUCCAGCAAUGCCGCGUGCAGGAAGAAGGCCUUCGGGUUGUAAACUGCUUUUGUACGGAGCGAAAAGGUCUCCUCUAAUACAGGGGGCUCAUGACGGUACCGUAAGAAUAAGCACCGGCUAACUACGUGCCAGCCGCCGCGGUAA